CCUACGGAGGGCAGCAGUGGGGAAUAUUGGGCAAUGGGCGCAAGCCUGAUCCAGCAACGCCGCGUGAAGGAAGAAGGCCCUCGGGUUGUAAACUUCUUUUAUUCGGGACGAAACAAAUGACGGUACAGAAUGAAUAAGCCACGGCUAACUACGUGCCAGCAGCAGCGGUAAUACGUAGGUGGCAAGCGAUAUCCGGAUUUACUGGGUGUAAAGGGCGUGUAGGCGGGAGAGCAAGUCAGACGUGAAAUUCCAGGGCUCAACCCUGGAACUGCGUUUGAAACUGUUCUUCUUGAGUGAUGGAGAGGCAGGCGGAAUUCCGUGUGUAGCGGUGAAAUGCGUAGAUAUACGGAGGAACACCAGUGGCGAAGGCGGCCUGCUGGACAUUAACUGACGCUGAGGCGCGAAAGCGUGGGGAGCAAACAGGAUUAGAUACCCCAGUAGUC
rnacentral:rRNA from 1 species